UACUGUCUUGUAUUUUCUGAGAUGUCAACGCGUCUCGAUACUAAAACUCUAGUUUCUCGAAUGGCACCGUAUAUUUUUUACGACGUUGGUACAUGCAGCUGGCCAUUCUCCACGAAGAAAUACUAACCUACUCGUAAAAGCCCUAAAAGCCAUUAAUUUGAUGCUUUAACUUCAAUUUGUCGAAAUUGACGCUUUACUGACCGCUAGCGAUACAACGGCAUACGCACGUCCGACCGGCAACUCGGGCGCGGAUUCUCCCUGGCGCCGGCUUUGUUUCCGUUUGGACUCUCCAAUAUCGUCAUUUUCGUUCAUCGCGGUUCAUCGGCAAGUUACCGGGAAGAUUUUUACGGCGACCGCGUACCAAAUAAAUAUUUCCUUUGAAACGCGCAUUCCCUUGCCAAUCGAGGGGAGCAGGGCAGAAUUCUGAAAACGUGAAACCGCAUUCUUUCUAUUUGGAUGCAAAUUCUCUGGGGACAGAAACGAAUUUCGUCUAUCAAUGGGACCUCGUACAGUCUUAAAUUUUGAAAUAAUCGGACAGAUUGUCAAAAUCUUCUACUUUAUGCCAGAGAAUAAAACAUAUAUCAGAAUGCGCUGACUCUGUAUCCCGGAAGAAGUCUGGAACAACGUAUAUAACGGGUCAUAAUAUAAUCAAUUAAGUAUAUCCUUAUAAGUUAUCUCGCUACUAAAAUAUUCCUGAAUCACCGUAUACAUAGUACAUUCUCUUUUAUCUUUGUAUUAUUAUCGUACAUAAUGUAAUUCAAUUAAAAUAGUGUAUUUAUUACAUGGUAAAAUGGUAAUAUGUAUCUAUAUGAAAUCUCCAGGUACGCAGGAAAAUACAAGAAAACACAUGCAAACCAGCUGGCUGCUGAAGCGAGCAAAAUUCUCAUAGA